GACGAACGCUGGCGGCGUGCCUAAUACAUGCCAGUUGAGCGCUGAAGGUUGGUACUUGUACCGACUGGAUGAGCAGCGAACGGGUGAGUAACGCGUGGGGAAUCUGCCUUUGAGCGGGGGACAACAUUUGGAAACGAAUGCUAAUACCGCAUAAAAACUUUAAACACAAGUUUUAAGUUUGAAAGAUGCAAUUGCAUCACUCAAAGAUGAUCCCGCGUUGUAUUAGCUAGUUGGUGAGGUAAAGGCUCACCAAGGCGAUGAUACAUAGCCGACCUGAGAGGGUGAUCGGCCACAUUGGGACUGAGACACGGCCCAAACUCCUACGGGAGGCAGCAGUAGGGAAUCUUCGGCAAUGGACGAAAGUCUGACCGAGCAACGCCGCGUGAGUGAAGAAGGUUUUCGGAUCGUAAAACUCUGUUGGUAGAGAAGAACGUUGGUGAGAGUGGAAAGCUCAUCAAGUGACAGUAACUACCCAGAAAGGGACGGCUAACUACGUG
rnacentral:rRNA from 1 species